rnacentral:misc_RNA from 1 species
GUCAAAAUUUGUCUCUAUUUUGCAGGGAGAGACUUCUCUAUCUCUAUUUCCAUGUCUGUUACCUAAGACUCAAGGCUUUCUCCUCUGCCGCUAGUCAAUCAUUUCCUACCCCUCCUGGCAGGGGAAGGUCUUUUUCCCACUAACCUGGUCUUGGGUGGCGCCUUCCUCUCCACCUGGUUGGGAAUGUAGAUAUGAUUUUGUUUCAACACUGGUAAGGGCUGGGUUGGGCUACCUGUUGUUGUCUCUUCCUUCUUGCUAUGUUUGUAUGUUGCAGGUGCUUUGGGAGAAGCAAAAGGCAAGAAACGGUCAUUGUUGGCGAGAGGAAGUAACUUUGCUGAGGAUGAUGUCUCGUUGGGAUUCCUCAGGCUUUUUUUUUUUUUAACUUUUGUGAUGUCUUGUUGUUUGCUUGUUCUUGAGGCCCGGGUUGACUGCUUGAAGCUGGAGAUGAUGGCUGGCUUCGGGUUCUGUUGAUCUUCAAAUCUGAAUGGUUAGGAAUCCUCUAUUUUGCUUCCUGGAGGCUGGAAUGGCUUCUUGUCUUCGACGAACUGGUGGGAACGUGCCUCAGCUUGCUGGGCCAUGAUACCAGCAUUGCUUACAUUGAUCGAUAAAGAUGACUAUCACUGCCGCGCCUGGCAUCAAGGAUGGCUGCCUUAUGGUCAGAGACAAGGUGCUGCUCGCCCAAGUUCCGGAAAACGUCGUCAUUUCUGCCGCCACCUGCGACUCUGCUUUCGCCGGUGCCACUUCUUCGACUCCCAGUUCUCGUCAUGUCUUUAGCCUUGGAGUUCUUGAGAGAUACAGGUUCUUAUGCCUUUUUAGAGCCAAAAUCUGGUGGAUGAUACCUCGUGUGGGAAAAUCUGGUAGCGAAAUCCCCAUGGAAACUCAAAUGCUGUUGCUGGAAGCAACAGAGAACCCUGCCCUGCAUGAUGAGCUUUCUUCUGAGACGUCAACUGGCGACACCUUCUAUAUUCUCUUGUUGCCCGCGUUGGACGGACAAUUUCGAACCAGCUUGCAGGGGACUUCUGCAAAUGAGCUCCAGUUCUGCAUUGAAAGUGGAGACGCUAAUGUUCAGACCUCCCAAGCAUUCGAAGCAGUAUUUAUAAACUCAGGGGACAAUCCUUUUGAGCUCAUCAAGAAUUCUAUCAAGAUAUUGGAGAAGCACAAGGGAACAUUUGGCCGUAUCCAAAACAAGAAGAUCCCAGCACAUUUAGACUGGUUUGGAUGGUGUACUUGGGAUGCUUUUUAUUCUAAAGUUAAUCCACAAGGAAUCAAAGAUGGUCUUCAAAGAUUCUUGGAAGGCGGUUGUUCACCAAAAUUUCUUAUUAUUGACGAUGGAUGGCAAGAGACAGUAAAUGAGUUUUGCAAAGAAGGUGAAGCACCUAUUGAAGGGACACAGUAAGUACUAUCUUUUAGCAUGAUUUUUUUGUUUGUCCUUUGAAUUAAUCUUGGCUUAUCAAUCAUGUAUUCAUAACAUUUCUAAUUUGUAUAGGUUUGCAGCUAGAUUGGUUGACAUCAAAGAAAAUAGCAAGUUCAAGAGUUCAGGCUCAGAUGAUAUCUGCACCGAUCUCCGCGAGUUUAUUGAUAAAAUCAAAGAAAAAUAUGGAUUAAAAUUUGUUUAUGUGUGGCAUGCUUUAGCUGGGUAUUGGGGAGGCGUCAUGCCAUCAUCUGAAACAAUGAAAAAAUACAACCCAAAGCUUGUAUAUCCGAUUCAGUCCCCUGGUAACAUAGGGAAUCAAAGAGACAUUGCCAUGGACAGCAUGGAAAAGUAUGGAGUUGGAAUCAUUGAUCCCUGCAAGAUCUUUGACUUUUAUAAUGAUCUCCAUAGCUAUCUAGUAAGCAGCAAUGUAGAUGGAGUCAAGGUGGAUAUUCAGAAUUUGAUUGAAACUUUAGGUACUGGGUAUGGAGGACGUGUUACAUUGACUAGAAAGUAUCAGGAAGCACUUGAGCAAUCUAUUGCAAGAAACUUUAAAGACAAUAACCUAAUCUGCUGCAUGAGUCACAACUCAGACUCAAUUUAUAGUUCAAGGAAAAGUGCGGUUGCAAGAGCAUCAGAAGAUUUCAUGCCGAGAGAAUCAACAUUUCAGACCUUACAUAUCGCCUCUGUGGCUUUUAACAGCCUUCUUCUUGGGGAGAUUGUGGUUCCAGACUGGGACAUGUUCCAUAGCAAACAUAAGACGGCUGAGUUCCAUGGUGCUGCAAGAGCAGUAGGUGGAUGUGCAGUAUAUGUAAGUGACAAGCCAGGCAAUCAUGAUUUUAAACUCCUGAAGAAGCUUGUACUGCCUGAUGGGUCUAUUCUGAGAGCUAGACAUGCUGGCCGUCCUACUAGAGAUUGUUUAUUUGCAGAUCCUGUCACGGAUGGAAAAAGUUUGUUGAAAAUAUGGAACUUGAACAAGCUAUCUGGCGUCAUUGGCAUUUUCAAUUGCCAAGGAGCAGGAAGUUGGCCUAUGAAACAAGCAGCUGAAGAAAUGCCGAAUGUACCAUUCACGCCUUUAACCCUUUCAGGCAAUGUGAGGCCUACUGAUGUUGAAUUUCUCAGAGAGGUUGCAGGUGAAGAUUGGAACGAGGAAAGUGCAGUCUAUGCCUUUAAUUCAGGAUCUCUUUCUGUACUGCCAAAGAAUGGAAGUCUUGAAGUGUGCUUAGCCACCCUCGAAGGCGAAAUAUAUACCAUCUCCCCAAUCAGGGUUUUUGGUCAGGAUAUUCAUUUCGCCCCGAUUGGAUUGCUGGAUAUGUACAACUCUGGAGGUGCAGUUGAAGCUGUAAACUGCAGGAUUACGGAUUCUUCAGAAUGCAGAAUCAAAAUAAAAGGGCGAGGAUGUGGCAGAUUUGGAGCCUACUCGAGCACUAAGCCUAAGCGUUGUAUGGUGGAGAAUAGGGAAGAGAAUUUCACAUAUAGUGCAGUAGAUGGAUUACUGGCGAUUAAGCUACAAGGCAAAUGCAAUUUGAGAGAGAUUGAAUUUGUAUAUUAAGGCCUCUCUUUCAUUUGAUUUUCUUCCUAUGAUCGAUUUCAUGUCUUGUGGGCAUAGAGUUAAUUUUUACAUAAUUGCAGAACAUGUAAAAUAUCGAAUGUCCCCAAAGGGUUAAUACAAUUUUAUAUUGUGAGUGAGCAUAAAAAUUUAGUAAUAA